UACGUAGGGGGCAAGCGUUGUCCGGAAUUAUUGGGCGUAAAGCGCGCGCAGGCGGCUUUGUAAGUCUAGUGUUUAAUCUCGGAGCUCAACUCCGAUUCGCACCGGAAACUGCAAGGCUUGAGUACAGAAGAGGAAAGUGGAAUUCCACGUGUAGCGGUGAAAUGCGUAGAUAUCAGGAGGAACACCUGUGGCGAAAGCGGCUCACUGGACCAUAACUGACGCUGAUGCACGAAAGCUAGGGGAGCAAACAGG
rnacentral:rRNA from 1 species